GCCAUACGUAAUUUGCUACUUUUUGGUUUUAGAAUGUUCAAACACUUAUGCGUCACGUAAACUAAUUCAUAAAUCACAAUCCUAAUAGUAAUCUCACAUUAAAAACCAAAUAUUCUCCUCAUUCCAUAGACUCUCCAAUGCCUCUCCACCACCUAGUAUACUGCUCUGCAUCUGCAUCUCCAUCUCCGCCCACCUAUCCGACUCAUCUUCCGGAUAUAAACCCAACCCAUUUUGCAUACUUGUUGGAUUUUGAUACUCAGUCACGUCUGACACCGGAGAAACCUGGGUAUCCAAAGACUCCAGCGAGUUUCCUGAUGGCUCUGGCAUCACCCACUCCAUCAUGGCGUCGUUUAUUUGCGCGGCUUCACUAUUUGCAGGGAUAUCAUUGUGGUUGCUGCUGCAGCUGGAGUAUGCGGUGGAUUGACCAGCGGAAGAUCCAGUUGCUGCCCGAAUUCGCUCGACUAAGCGAGGCAUCCAAAUAUAGCGCAUGGCGUCUCUGAAUUGUUUACUAUUAACGUCACAUUUCAGCUGCUUUGCCUGCUUUUGAACUCUGGUUCUCCAAUAGUUCUUGAUUUCGUUGUCUGUUCUGCCAGGCAAGUACUGCGCAAUUUUCGACCACCUAUUGCCCCAGCGAGA
rnacentral:misc_RNA from 1 species